AUCUCCAGAAGACCUUGAAAACAGCAGAUCAUGCUUCAGCCAUCCAGGGAGGUUCCUCAUCCUAGCCAUUAAACCUAGCUGGGAUGCAACCUAGCUCUUAGAGUGGGACAGGGAGGGAAGAAGGAGGCUAAAGCUUUGGAUCUACUGACUUCAAUAUCCUACAGUGGAAAAGAGCUGCAGAGAUGAGAUUAGAACUUGCAGAUUCCUGGCACCUUGUCCAUGCUGAGUCCACAGACAAUUUAACUUCUACAGCAUUUACUGUGCUAAUGCAUGGGAAAUGACCAAGCAGUUCACCCAUGUAAGAGUCUUCUGUAGCACAGCCUCCAUGAUGGAAAAAGUCAGAUGUGCUCAGUACAGGCAAAGGAAACAAGCAGCCUUGAAACAAAAGUCACAGAACUCUGGGAGCAGCCUGCACAACUGUGUU